UACGUAGGUGGCAAGCGUUGUCCGGAAUUACUGGGCGUAAAGCGUGCGCAGGCGGUUCGUUGUGUCGGUGGUGAAAGCCCCGGGCUUAACCUGGGAAUGGCCAUGGAAACUGGCGAACUGGAGUGUGGCAGAGGGGGGUGGAAUUCCACGUGUAGCAGUGAAAUGCGUAGAGAUGUGGAGGAACACCGAUGGCGAAGGCAGCCCCCUGGGCUAACACUGACGCUCAUGCACGAAAGCGUGGGGAGCAAACAGG
rnacentral:rRNA from 1 species